AGGAAAGGGUAAGAAAGCGAAAUUGAGACUGGAAGGUAAAAGGAGAAGAAAAACUGAGAAAGCUCCGGCCUCAGUCGGUUUCCGUCCGUUUUAGCGAUUUCAAGGGUUCUCAAUUCUCGUCCUUCCGGCGAUCGAUAGUUUAAAGAACUCUGCAAAUCAUUUUAAGUUGCGCAGUCAUACCGACUUGAGAGAGUUGCUGGAAAGAGUGAGCUUGCGGAAGAACACAUUGAUGGAUGUUUUCAAGACACAGCGGAUCUCGGCGAGGCCGAUUGAGAAGGUUAUAGUUCACCCUCUCGUUCUUCUCAGUAAAGUCUAUAAUUACGAAAGAGUCGCUAGGGAUACUCGGAAGCGAGUUAUUGAUGUCCUGCUCGGGAGCACCUUGAAAGGAACUGUUGAUGUCACCAACAGCUAAGCAGUGCCCUUUGAAGAAGAUGAUAAGGACCCAACCAUCUGGUUUCUUGACCACAACUACCAUGAAGCAAUGUUUUCUAGAUUCAAGAGAAUAAAUGCCAAGGAGCACGUUGUUGGUUGGUAUAUUACAGGCCCAAAACUGCGGCAAAAUGACUUGGAUAUUCACGGAUUAUUCCAUGAGUAAGAAAGGAAAAUCUUUGCUUCCAGUGAACAUAAUUAAUAUGUUAAUACAUUAUUGGCCAUUCAUGAUCAAUGACUUACUUCACCCCCCCUUUCUUUCAUGGACUUAUUUUUGCUUAAAACUUUUUUGACUGUGCUCUGUUUAUAGUUGGUCAUCUUUACAUGAUUUCGCUGUUAAGCUUUGGUGGGACUUUAUUGAACAUACACAUAGAACUCUUGGCUUAUCUGCCUAGUAAAGUUAGGAAUUUUGGAUUUCUCCCCGAUUUCACUUUCUGCCAAAAUCAAAAUAUUUCAGUAAUAUCAAACACAAUUUCAGCUUUGAACCUUGCUACCUAGCCAUCUUUGUCCGAAGUGGAUACUCUUCUCAUGUUAGAAUAUGUCCUUCCUUCUCUUCUGGUCAUGUGAAAAUCUAUCCUUUGUGGUGUUCUUUGAGUAGGCGCUAGAUUUCUGGCUUCCUUAUCCUUUUUAUUUACAAGUUGCAGUAGUCUCAGUUUGUCAGGGACUCAAGCUGUCUCUCUUGAAGAGAUGUUGAAGAAUGUGUUGCCUUCUCCAGCUACACUUUCCUGUUAAGGAUCUUGAAUGAUCCCCCCACCCUCUUCUCUCUCUCUCUCUCUCAAAAAAUAAAAUAAAAAAAUUGAGUGAUCAUUUGUUAUGAGACAUACUGCAUUAAUGUAGAACUAGGGUUUAAUAAUCAACCUAGCCCCAAUUAUGCAGGAUACUAUAUCUGAGAAGUGAGAACAGAAAAUCAAAGCACCACAGUAACUAGAUUACAGAUUCAGCAAUCAUGGACAGAGAUUAAGAAAGACAACAGACUAAUUAAUAUCAGAAUUUUAGAGUUUAUGGACCUGAUCUGUAAAUAAGAAUCUAGGGACUGAUCACAUCAAGAAAAAUAGACUGAAACAUUUCUGUCCAUAAACUCAAUCGGAAUAAUGGACCUGAUCUGUAAAUAAGGAAUCAAAACAAACCCUUUUAUCGAUCUCAAUUUUGAGAUCAGAAUAAACCAAAAAACUCAAUCGGAUAGGGACCUGUAGUCUUUUAGGUGUCAUCCAAGACCUCUUCAAUAACAUCAACAAUGAGUGGUUUGAUUUGGGGCAAUCACAACAUCUGUUCCUAAUAUGUGUCAUCGGAAUGAUACACAACAUAGAGAUGAAGAUCAGCCAUGUUGAAAACAUUGCUUAUGGUCAUAUAUAUCUCUAGCAACUUGAGCACAUAAGCAUUGGGUCCUACUCGUUUCAGCACCUUUUGGGGACUCAUCUUCCUUGGAUGGAGUUUGAAACCUGCUUGGAACUUCUCAGUUUUGACGGUAGUCAUCACCAUUUCUCCUGGUUUGAACGCCACAGAACGUCGAUGACAAUCUGAUGAAGCUUUAUACACAUCAUUGUUCAGAGAGAUGAGUCAUUGAAUGUCAGCAUGCACAUAAGUGAUUUGACGCUAGAACUCGUCAGCCUUAAGGCGGAACUCUAGCUUGGUGUGGUAUGGAACAAGAUCAAUAGAUCGCUUUGUGUAAACUCCAGGCAAUGUCACAGAAGCAGUCCGGUUCAGUGAACUUUUAUAAGUAAAUUCAGCAAUGUGGAGGGUGACAUGCCACUUCUCAUAUUCUCAAAACAAACAUCUUAACAAAUUAAUAAAACUUCGAUUCACAACCUUUGUCUGUUCGUCAUUCUAUGGAUGGAAUGCGGUUGAAAACUUCAACUUUGUAUUUGUUUUCAGCCUGUGUCUUCCAAAAGUAGCUCAUGAACUUGACAUCUCAAUCAGAGACAAUGCUAUUAUUAGUCAAUGCUAUUUGGUAGCCCAUGUAGUUGCACUAUUUCGUUGAAAAAUAAUUUUGGAACCUGAUAUGUGCCUAAAGUUUGCGACAAGGUACUGUUUGUAAUCAUCAGCAUGGAUCAAAGUACUGUCGUGCGCAUCUGUUUGACAAGAAAUGCAUGGUAACUUGUGCCAUGAUGUGUAUUCUUGUUAGUGUCAACCAACUCCUCUUCAAAAACAUCAAUGGUGUGGCUUGAAUUUGGGCAAUCACAACAUUUGUUUGGAUUCUCCGUCAUUCGAAUGAUGCCCAACGUAAAUCUAAAGAUCAGCACAUAAGCAUUAGUUUCUACUCGUUUUUGCCCCCAUCUUCCUUGGGUGGAGUUUGGAACCUCAUUGGAACCUCUCAUUGUUAACAAUAAUCAUUGAUUAUGUCUUUUGAUUUGAACUCCACAUUACGUCGAUAACAAUCAGCUGAAGCUUUAUACACAUCUUUGUUCAAAGCAAUGUGUCGUCGACUAUCGCAUGCACGUCACUGAUAUGGCGCAAGAACUCGUGGGCCAAAAUGCUAACUCUAGCUUAAGGGCAAUUGUGUAAUAAAAUCAAUUGGUCACUUUGUCUGAACUCCAAGCAAUAUCUCGAAAGCAGUACGAUCUAUUGUCCAGUUCAUUGAACUAUGAUAUUAAAGUUCAACAAUGUUGAGGAUGGAAGGCCACGUCUUCUCAUAAUCUCGAACCAAACAUCUCAACAGAUUACCCAAGCUAUGAUUCACUUCCUUCAUUUGUCGGUCAGGCCGUGGAUGAAAUAAAAAGGGCAUACCCGGUGCACGAGGCUCUCGUAUGUAGAAAGUCUGGGGGUGAGAACUACGUAGCCUUACGUCGAGAAUGCUGGGAGGCUGUUUUGAUCGCUUGCCCAUCAAGUUGUGGAUGAUCGCAUGAUGUAGCAUGACUUCUCUUGAUUUUUUCUCCCACGAAUAACUAUCCCAAUGCCCUAUUUUCUCUUCCUCUCACGAACUUGCAAAAAUUCUCCUGAUUUUCUCUCCCACUAAGAACUAUCCCAACACCCAAUUUUCUCUCUCCCUUGAUCUAUCUUGCACGACCUGAGAAAAAUUCUCUCGAUUUUCUCUCCCACUAAUAACCAUCCUUGCCCCCCAUUUCUCCCUCCUUUACCCCCAAUCCUUUUCUCGGAUCUCUCUCUUCUCUCGAUCUCUCUUGCACGGUGCACCUAACAUUACUUCUCCCAAUUUUCUCUCCCUCUCGCACAACCUAGCAAAAAUUCUCCCGAUUUUCUCUCCCACUAUUAACUAUCCCAACACCCGAUUUUCUAUCUCCUUCUCUACCCCCGACCUCUUUCUCGAAUGUGUCUCUUCUCCUUACGAUAUACCAUGACUUCUCCCGAUUUUCUCUCCCACUAAUAACUGUCCCAACCCACGAUUCUCUCCUCUUUUGCACGACAUAGCAAAAAAUCUCUCCUACUAACUCUCCCAUCCCUCGAUUUUCUCUCCCUCGAUCUCUCUCGCAUUACCUGGAAAAAAAUCUCGAUUUUCUCUCCCACAAAUAACUACUUCAGCCCUCAAUUUUCUCUCCUUCUGUACCCUAACCCCUUUCACAAAUCUCUCUCCUCUCGAUCUCUCGUAUGACCUAAUAUGACUUCUUUCGAUUUUCUCUCCCACUAAUAACUAUCCCAUCCUCGAUUAUCUCUCUCCUCUACCUCCCGAUUUUCUCUCCCUCCCUCGAACGACCUAGCAAAAAUUCUCCCGAUUAUCUCUCCUAUAAUAACUAUCCUAGCACCUGAUUUUGCCUCUCCCUUUAUAUCUCUCUCGCAUAACCUUGCAAAAAUUCUUCUGAUUUUCUCUCUUCUUCUCUAUCCACAACCCUCUCUCUCUCUCUCUCGCACGACCUAGAAUGAUUUCUCUCGAUUUUCUCUCCCACUAAUAACUAUUCCAGCAUCCGAUUUUCUAUCCCUCUCGUACAACCUAGCAAAAAUUCUCUUGAUUUUCUCUCCCAUUAAUAAUUAUCCCAGCAUCCGAUUUUCUCUCUCGUUCGAUCUCUCUCCCACGACUUGGCAAAAACUCUCGAUUUUCUCUCCCACUAAUAACUAUCCCAACCCCGAUUUUCUCUCUCCUCUUCCCCCAACCCCUUUCUCGUAUCUUUCUUUUCUCUCAAUCUCUUUCGCAUUACUUAACAUGACUUCUUUUCUUUUUCUCUCCCACUAAUAAUUAUCCUAGACAUGGAUGAAAUAAAAAGGGUGUACCCAGUGCACGAGGCUCUCGCAUGUGCAAGGUCGGGGGGCUGAGAACUACGCAAUCUUACCUUGAGAAUGUCUAGAGGAAGUUUCGAUUGUUUGUCAACUAGGUUGUGGAUGAUCACACGAUGUAGCAUGACUUCUCCCGAUUUUCUAUCCCACUACUAACUAUCCCAACCCCCCAUUUUCUCUCCCUUUCGCACAAAAUAGCAAAAAUUCUAUCAAUGUUCUCUCCCUUUAAAAGAUGUCUCAACACGAUUUUCUUUCCCAUUGAUAACUAUUAUGGCACUCGAUUUUCUCUCUCCCUCGAUCUCUCGCAUGACCCGGCAAAAAUUCUCUUUAUUUUCUCUCCCACUAAUAACUAUCCUAGCCCCAAUUGUCUCUCUCCUCUACCCCAACACCUUUUUUGAAUCUCUCCUCUUUUGUUCUUUCUCACAUGAUUGAACAUGACUUCAAUCGAACCUCUCUCCCACUAAUAACUAUAUUAGCCGUGGAUGAAACAAAAAGUGCGUACCCGGAGCAUUAGGCGCCUAAACUAUGUUGCAUUACACCAUGAAUGUUGAGAGGCUGUUUUGAUCAGCUGACUAGUAGAUCGUGGAUGAUCAAACGAUGUAGCAUGACUUCUCUUGAUUUUCUCUCCCACUAAUAAUUGUCCCAACACCCGAUUUUCACUCCCUUUGAUACAACAUAGCAAAAAUUCUCUUGAUUUUCUCUCCCACAAAUAACUAUCCCAAGACCCGAUUUUCUCUCCCUUGAUCACUCUCUCACGACUUAGCAAAAAUUUUCCUGAUUUCCUCACCCAUUAAUAACUAUCUUAGCCCUUGAUUUUCUCUCCUUCUCUACCCCUGACCCAUUUUUUGAAUCUUUCUUCUCUUGAUCUCUCUUGCAUGAUUUUUUCCAAUUUUCUGUCACUACGAUUUUCUUUCCUCUACCCCUAGCCCCUUUCUCAAAUCUCCCUUCUCUCGGUCUCUCUGGCACGACCUAGCAUGACCUCCUCCGAUUUUCUCUCCCUCUCGCAGGACAUAGUAAAUUUCUCUCGAUUUUCUCCCUCACUAAUAACUAUCACAGCACCCGAUUUUCUAUCUCCCUUAUUAUCUCUCGCACGAUCUAGCAAAAAUUUUCUCAAUUUUCUUUCCCACUAAUAAUUAUCCCAACCCUUGAUUUCUCUCUACUUUCCUGUCACAACCCCAUUUUUGAAUAUCUCCUCUUAAUUUCUCUCACAUCACCUCCCACUAAUAUCUAUCCUAGCCCCCGAUUUUCUCCCCCUCUCGCAUGACAACAAAAAUUCUCCUGAUUUUCUCUCCAACUAAUAACUAUCACAACCUCGAUCUCUCUCCUCUACCCGCGACCCCUUUCUCGAAUCUUUCUUCUCUCAGUCAUUCUCCCACGACCUAGCAUGACUUCUCCUGAUUUCCUCUCCCUCUGUCGCACGACUUAAAAAAAGUUCUCACGAUUUUCUCUCCACUGAUAACUAUCCUAUUAGCUGAUUUUCUCUCUCCCUCAGUCUCUCUCGCACAACCUAGCAAAAACUCUCUCGAUUUUGUCUCCCAUUAAUAUUUAUGACAAUCCCCGAUUUACUUGCUCCUCUACCCCCUAUCCCCUACCCCCUCUCGAAUCUCUCUCUUCGCUCGAUCUCUCUUGCACGACCUAGCAUCACUCUCGAUUUUCUCACUAAUAACUAUCCCAGCUCCGAUUUUCUCUCCAAACACUAAUUACUGUUCUAGUACCAAAUUUUCUCUCAUUCUCUACCCUUUACCCCUUUCUCGAAUGUCUCUCUUCUCCGAUCUCUCUCGUAUAACCUAGCAUUACUUCUCUUGAUUUAUUAUUCCUCUAAAAUAUGUCUCAACACACUAUUUUCUCUCCCUUUUAUAUGACUUGGAAAAAAUUCUCAUGAUUUUCUCUCCCUCUGAUAACUAUCUUCCUGCACCUGAUUUUCUUUCUCUCAUGAUCUCUCUCACACGACUUGGCAAAAAUUCUCUAUUUUCUCUCCCAUUGAUAACUAUCUCCUAGCCCCGAUUUUCUCUCUCCUUCUCUAUCCCCAACCCCUUUUUUUAAAUCUCUUUCUUUAUCUCUCUCGCAUGACCUGACAUGACUUCAGUCGAUUUUCUCUCCCACUAAAAACUAUCCUACCAUGGAUGAAAAUAAAAAGUGCGUAACCAGAGCAUUAGGAUCUUGUAAGUGCAAAGUUCGGGGUUUGAGAAUUACGCUGCCCCGAGAAUGUCAAGAUGUUGUUUCAAUCGCCUGACCACUAGGUCGUGGAUGAUCAUCGGUGUAGCAUGACUUCUCCCAAUUUUCUAUCCUACUAAUAACUAUCCCAACCGUCGAUUUUCUCUCCCUCUAUCACAACUUUGAAAAAAUUCUUGCGAUUUUUUCUCCCACUAAUAACUAUCCUAGCACUCGAUUUUCUCUCCCUCAAUCUCUUACACGACCAAGCAAAAAUUAUCAUGAUUUUCUCUUCUACUAAGAACUAUCUCAGCCUCGAUUUCUCUCUCCUUUGCCCCCAACCCUAUUAUGAAUAUCUCUCCUCUCGAUUUCUCAUGCAUGCCUUAGGAUGACUUCUCCCGAUUCUCUCUCCCUCUCGCACAACCUAGCAAAAAUUCUCCCAAGUUUGUCCCCCACUAAUAACUAUCCUAGCAUCCAUUUUCUCUCGCUCGAUCACUCUCACAUGACCUAGCAAAAAUCCUCUAAUUUUUCUCUCCUCAACCCUAAACCCUAAAACUACCGUGACUUCUCCCAAUUUUCUCUCCCGCUAAUAACUAUCCUAGCCCUCGAUUCUCUCCCUCUCGCACGACCUAACAAAAAUUCACCUAUUUUUCUCUCCCACUAAUAACUAUCCCAGCACCCGAUUUUCUCUCCCUCUAUCUCUUUCACACGACACAACAAAAAUUCUCCCGAUUUUAUCUCCCACUAAUAACACUCCCAACCCCUAAUUUUCUCAUUCUCUACCCUUUACCCCUUUCUCAAAUCCUUCUCUCUUCUCUUGAUUUCUCUUGCACGACCUAGCAUGUCUUCUAUCGAUUUUUUUUUUCCCACUAAUAACUAUCCCAACCCUGGAUUUUCUCUCCUUCGCAUGACCUAGCAAAAAUUUUGUCUAUUUUCUCUCGCAGUAAUAACUAUCGUAGCACCCGAUUCUCCUUUCUCGAAUGUCUCUCUUUUGCCGAUCUUUCUUGUACAACCUAGCAUGACUUCUCUCUAUUUUCUCCCACUAAUUAUUGUCUCAACCCCCGAUUUUCUCUCCCUCUCUCACGGCCUAGCAAAAAUUCUCUUGAUUUUUUCUCUAACUAUUAACUAUCAUAACCUCUAUCUGUCUCCUCUACCACCGACCCCUUUCUCAAAUCUCUUUUUUCUCUCGGUCAUUCUCCCACGACCUAGCAUGACUUCUCUUGAUUUUCUCUCUCACUAAAAACUAUCCCGGCCCCCAAUUUUCUCUCUCCUUGUUGCACGACAGAGCAAAAGUUAUCCCGAUUUUCUCUCCACUAAUAACUAUCCUAUUAGCCGAUUUUCUCUCUACCUCGAUCUGUCGCACGACUUGGCCAAAACGCUCCCGAUUUUCUCUCCCAUUAAUAUUUAUUACAACCCCCGAUUUACUCGGUCCUUCUCGACCCCCUACCCCUUACCCCCUUUCGAAUAUUUCUGCGCUCGAUCUCUCUUGCACAACCUAGCAUUACUCUCGAUUUUCUCAGUAAUUACUAUCCCAGCCCCGAUUUUCUCUCCAAACACUAAUUACUAUCCUAGCACCCAAUUUUCUCUCUCCUUCUCUACCCCCGACCCCUUUCUCGAAUGUCUCUCUUCUCUGAUCUCUCUCUUAUAACUUAGCAUUACUUUUCUCGAUUUAUUCUCCUUAAAAAUUUAUGUCUCAACACACUAUUUUCUCUCCCUUUUGUGCGACUUAGAAAAAAAUAUCACUAUUUUCUCUCCCACUGAUAACUAUCCUAGCCUCGAUUUUCUCUCUCCUUCUCUACCGCCAACCCCUUUCUUUGAAUCUCUUUCUCGAUCUCUCUCGCAUGACCUAACAUAACUUUAAUCGAUUUUCUGUCCCACUAGUAACUAUCCUACCAUGGAUGAAAAUAAAAAGUGCAUACUCGGAGCAUGAGGAUCUUGUAUGUGCAAGGUUCGGGGCCUGAGAAUUACGCUGCCCCGAGAAUGUCAAGAGGCUGUUUCAAUCGCCUGACCACUAGGUCGUGGUUGAUCAACGAUGUAGAAUGACUUCUCGCAAUUUUUUAUCCUACUAAUAACUAUCCCAACCCUUGAUUUUCUCUCCCUUUGGCACGACUUUGCGAAAAUUCUCCCGAUUUUUUCUCCCACUAAUAACUAUCUUAGCACUCGAUUUUCUUUCUCCUUAAUCUCUCACAUGACCAAGCAAAAGUUCUCAUGAUUGUGUCUUCCUCUAGUAACUAUCUCAGCCUUGAUUUCUCUCCUUUGUUUUGAACCCUAUCUAUGAAUAUCUCUCCUCUUGAUUUCUCAUGCAUGCCUUAGGAUGACUUCUCCCGAUUCUCUCUCCCUCUCGCACAACCUAGCAAAAAUUCUCCCAAGUUUGUCCCCCACUAAUAACUAUCCUAGCACCCAAUUUUCUCGCUCGAUCUCUCCCACAUGACCUAGCAAAAAUUCUCCCAUUUUUCUGUCCUAAACCCUAAACCCUAAACCCUAAACCCUAAACCCUAAACCCUAAACCUACCAUGACUUCUCCCAAUUUUCUCUCCCACUAAUAACUAUCCUAGCUCUCGAUUCUCUCCCUCUCUCGCACGACCUAGCAAAAAUUCUCAUGUUUUUCUCUCCCACUACUAACUAUCCUAGCACCCGAUUUCUAUCUCCCUUUAUCUCUCUGACACGACAUAGCAAAAAUUCUCCUGAUUUUAUCUCUCACUAAUAACACUCCCAGCCCCUUAUUUUCUCUCCUCUACCCUUGCCCCUUUCUCAAAUCCUUCUCUCUUCUCUCGAUUUCUCUUGCACGACCUAGCAUGUCUUCUAUCGAUUUUUUUCCACUAAUAACUAUGCCAGCCAUAGAUUUUCUCUCCUUUGCAUGACCUGGCAAAAAUUCUGUCUAUUUUCUCUUGCAGUAAUAACUAUCGUAGCACCCGAUUCUCUCUCGUUCUCUAUCACCAACCCCUUUCUCGAAUGUCUCUUCUCUCGAUCUUUCUUGUACAACAUAGCAUGACUUCUCUCUAUUUUCUCUCCCACUAAUUAUUGUCUCAACCCCUGAUUUUCUCUCCUUCUCACGACCUAGCAAAAAUUCUCUUGAUUUUUUUUCCAACUAAUAACUAUCACAACCUCGAUCUCUCUCCUCUACCACCGACCCCUUUCUCGAAUCUCUUUCUUCUCUCGGUCAUUCUCCCAUGACUUAGCAUGACUUCUCCUGAUUUUCUCUCCCACUAAAAA